GUGUUGCUUACCCGCGGAAAGGAAUUCUAUGGUUUUGGUGUCCCCAUCCGCCUUGUGCCCUUCGGGGUGCGGGGUGGACGCGAGGCGGGCUCCGUGUUCCCCGCGCGUUGAGUGUGCUGACGCUUGACCGCUGUGGCCCAUGGGGUCUCGACCCGUGCUCUCGGAUGCGGAAUGUUGUGUGUGGGCGUGGGGUCUCGGCCUCUUCUCGUCCAAGCUGCACGCAUUGUCCCCUAACAUGAACGACCGUCGCGCCCGUCUUGAUCGACCGACCGAGCCCCCUUUGUGGGUUUUCGGGAGGGCGGCUCAUGCGGAUGUCGGCGUCGGAGAGGAAUGC
rnacentral:misc_RNA from 1 species